rnacentral:lncRNA from 1 species
CCAUUCCAAUGCUUCUUUCACGGCAGCCUCGAUUUUCUCCUUCUCAUCUGAUUCCAACUUGUCAGCGAGCUUAUCUUUGUCACCAAUCUGGUUUUUCAGGUUGUAGAUGUAAGUUUCAAGUGCGUUACGUGCAUCAAUCCUCUCCUUCACCUUCUUAUCUUCCUCGGCAAACUCUUCUGCUUCACGAACCAUGCGCUCAAUUUCCUCCUGGCUCAGGCGUCCCUUUUCAUUUGUGAUGGUGAUCUUUUCUGCUUUACCUGUGCCCUUGUCUUCUGCCUUCACGUUUAGGAUACCAUUUGCAUCAACUUCAAAGGUCACUUCAAUUUGAGGGACACCUCUGUUCAAUUAUCACACAAAAUAACAAUGAAUACCACACAAAUAACAAUAAAUAAUAAGCAUCAACAGAGAAAUAUUUAAACAUGACUUCAUGAAACCAGGAAACAAACCUUGGAGCUGGUGCAAUUCCGGACAGUUCAAAUUUCCCGAGAAGACGGCAAUCCUUUGUGAGACUCCUCUCACCUUCGAACACCUAACCAUUUAAAAAAACAGCAUCCGAAUUGAGGUUAAACCAUUAAGGUUCUUUGAGUCAAGUAUUUUAAAUUCAAAAGUCCAAACAUCAUGCACCAAAGCGCUGUUAAAUUACAGAUCAGUACCUGAAUGCCGACAAUAGUCUGCUGAUCCUGGUAGGUGGUAAAAACCUGAGAUUUCUUGGUUGGGAUAACAGUAUUUCUGGGAAUCAACUUUGUCAUCACCCCACCAACAGUUUCAAUUCCAAGGGUGAGAGGUGCCACAUCCAAGAGAAGGAUAUCUGGAUCCAGUGAGCACAAUGGAUAAGUUGUUAAGCAUGGAAAUCCAGUUGCUUCAUUUAACUUUGUUACGUGCGCCGAGUAAUUAAAAAUAGAAAGCUAGAGUAUAGACUAUAUUACCUUUGGUUUCAUCACCACCCUCUCCACUUAAAAUGCCUCCUUGUACUGCAGCACCAUAUGCGACUGCCUCAUCAGGGUUCACACCCUUGUUUGGCUCUUUUCCCUCAAAGUAGUCCUUCAAGAGUUGUUGUACCUUUGGAAUCCUAGUACUUCCACCAACAAGUACUAUCUCGUCAAUCUGGUUCUUCUGUAAUCCAGCAUCAUCCAUUGCCUUCUUCACUGGCCCCAUUGUCUUGCGGAACAAGUCAUUGUUCAACUCCUCGAACCGAGCUCGGGUAAGUGGCUCAGAGAGAUCAACACCAUCAAAAAGAGAUUCAAUUUCCACACGGACUUGGUGCUGGCUACUGAGAGCUCUCUUUGCACGCUCACUUUCUCUCCUCAGCUUGCCAAGAGCUCUGUUGUCCUUGCUGAUAUCCUUUCCGUGCUUUUUCUUGAUCAAUUUAAUGAAGUAAUCCAUUAUUCUGUGAUCAAAGUCCUCACCUGGAAGGGGAAGGAAAAAAUAGGAGGCGUUAAUACCUGAAGGAAAACUUCAGGAGAUAACAAACUUCUUUUCUUUGGUAUAAUAUCAUGUUAUUCUGUGUCGUAUAUAACAAAGAACUAACCUCCAAGAUGAGUAUCUCCGUUUGUAGAAAGAACCUCAAAAACACCGUUGUCAAUUGUCAAGAUACUGACAUCGAAUGUCCCACCUCCGAGAUCAAAGACAAGAAUGUUCUUCUCGCCACCUUUCUUGUCCAAUCCAUAAGCAAUUUGAGCCUCUCUUCAUAUUCUUCUUUCUCUGCACUCUGGUUGUCAUCCAACCAUUCCAAUGCUUCUUUCACGGCAGCCUCGAUUUUCUCCUUCUCAUCUGAUUCCAACUUGUCAGCGAGCUUAUCUUUGUCACCAAUCUGGUUUUUCAGGUUGUAGAUGUAAGUUUCAAGUGCGUUACGUGCAUCAAUCCUCUCCUUCACCUUCUUAUCUUCCUCGGCAAACUCUUCUGCUUCACGAACCAUGCGCUCAA